rnacentral:rRNA from 1 species
UACAGAGGUCUCAAGCGUUGUUCGGAUUCAUUGGGCGUAAAGGGCGCGUAGGCGGCGGGGUAAGUCGGGUGUGAAAUCUCAGAGCUCAACUCUGAAACUGCACUCGAUACUGCUCUGCUUGAGGACUGGAGAGGAGACUGGAAUUCACGGUGUAGCAGUGAAAUGCGUAGAUAUCGUGAGGAACACCAGAGGCGAAGGCGGCUACCUGGACAAUUGCUGACGCUCAGGCACGAAAGCGUGGGGAGCAAACGGG